GACGAACGCUGGCGGCGUGCUUAACACAUGCAAGUCGAACGGAAAGGCCCUGCUUUUGUGGGGUGCUCGAGUGGCGAACGGGUGAGUAACACGUGAGUAACCUGCCCUUGACUUUGGGAUAACUUCAGGAAACUGGGGCUACUACCGGAUAGGAGCUCCUGCUGCAUGGUGGGGGUUGGAAAGUUUCGGCGGUUGGGGAUGGACUCGCGGCUUAUCAGCUUGUUGGUGGGGUAGUGGCUUACCAAGGCUUUGACGGGUAGCCGGCCUGAGAGGGUGACCGGCCACAUUGGGACUGAGAUACGGCCCAGACUCCUACGGGAGGCAGCAGUGGGGAAUAUUGAACAAUGGGCGGAAGCCUGAUGCAGCAACGCCGCGUGCGGGAUGACGGCCUUCGGGUUGUAAACCGCUUUCGCCUGUGACGAAGCGUGAGUGACGGUAAUGGGUAAAGAAGCACCGGCUAACUACGUG
rnacentral:rRNA from 1 species